rnacentral:tRNA from 1 species
UUGGCUAAAGCCAAAUAGAGGCAGGUCACUGUUACUGAUCGUACUGGGUCACCCUGGCCACU